GUGGGGAAUCUUCCACAAUGGACGAAAGUCUGAUGGAGCAACGCCGCGUGAGUGAAGAAGGGUUUCGGCUCGUAAAGCUCUGUUGUCGGGGACGAAUGUGCAGUAUUUGAAUAAAGUAGUGCAAUGACGGUACCUGACGAGGAAGCCACGGCUAACUACGUGCCAGCAGCCGCGGUAAUACGUAGGUGGCAAGCGUUGUCCGGAAUUAUUGGGCGUAAAGGGAGCGCAGGCGGGAAGGUAAGUCGGUCUUAAAAGUGCGGGGCUCAACCCCGUGAUGGGGUCGAAACUAUCUUUCUUGAGUGCAGGAGAGGAAAGUGGAAUUCCUAGUGUAGCGGUGAAAUGCGUAGAUAUUAGGAGGAACACCAGUGGCGAAGGCGACUUUCUGGACUGUAACUGACGCUGAGGCUCGAAAGCCAGGGGAGCGAACGGGAUUAGAAACCCUGGUAGUCC
rnacentral:rRNA from 1 species